GUCCCAGCCGUAAACGUUGGGUGCUAGGUGUGGGGAGGUCUUCAACCCUUUCCGUGCCGCAGCUAACGCAUUAAGCACCCCGCCUGGGGAGUACGGCCGCAAGGCUAAAACUCAAAGGAAUUGACGGGGGCCCGCACAAGCGGCGGAGCAUGUGGCUUAAUUCGAUGCAACGCGAAGAACCUUACCUAGGCUUGACAUGCUUGUUAAAGCGGGUGAAAGCCCGUGUCCGUAAGGGGCAAGCACAGGUGCUGCAUGGCUGUCGU
rnacentral:rRNA from 1 species